UACGGAGGGUGCAAGCGUUAUCCGGAUUCACUGGGUUUAAAGGGUGCGUAGGUGGGCAAGUAAGUCAGUGGUGAAAUCUCCGGGCUUAACCCGGAAACUGCCAUUGAUACUAUUUGUCUUGAAUACUGUGGAGGUCAGCGGAAUAUGUCAUGUAGCGGUGAAAUGCUUAGAUAUGACAUAGAACACCAAUUGCGAAGGCAGCUGGCUACACAAAUAUUGACACUGAGGCACGAAAGCGCGGGGAUCAAACAGG
rnacentral:rRNA from 1 species